UACGGAGGGCGCAAGCGUUAAUCGGAAUUACUGGGCGUAAAGCGCACGCAGGCGGUUUGCUAAGUCCGGUGUGAAAUCCCCCGGCUCAACCUGGGAACUUCAUCUGAUACUGGCAAGCUUGAGUCUCGUAGAGGGGGGUAGAAUUCCAGGUGUAGCGGUGAAAUGCGUAGAGAUCUGGAGGAAUACCGGUGGCGAAGGCGGCCGCCUGGACGAAGACUGACGCUCAGGUGCGAAAGCGUGGGGAGCAAACGGG
rnacentral:rRNA from 1 species